rnacentral:rRNA from 1 species
UAGAACAAAGUAGGUAAGGUAAGUCGGCAAAAUAGAUCCGUAACCUCGGGAUAAGGAUUGGCUCUGAGGGUUGGGCCUAGGGGUCUCCAGAACGACGGAUGUGGCUGCCAGGGACGGACUGCGGGCAACUGCGGACUGUUCUAGGCGGCUCUCUCGAGGUCUGGAGAACGUCUUUCGGGACUUUCCCUAGUGCGUGGAACAACCAACUCAGAACUGGAG